rnacentral:rRNA from 1 species
GACAGAGGGGGCAAGCGUUGCUCGGAAUUACUGGGCGUAAAGGGCGCGUAGGCGGGAUGGCAAGUCGGUCGUGAAAUCCCUCGGCUCAACUGAGGAUCGUCGAUCGAUACUGCCGUUCUUGAGGAUUGCAGAGGAGACUGGAAUUCCCGGUGUAGCGGUGAAAUGCGUAGAUAUGCGGAGGAACACCGAUGGCGAAGGCAAUCCCCUGGGCCUGCACUGACGCUCAUGCACGAAAGCGUGGGGAGCAAACAGG